rnacentral:tRNA from 1 species
GGGCCCGUAGCUCAGUCCGGCCGAGAGCGACCGGCUCAUAACCGGUCGAUCGACGGUUCAAAUCCGUCCGGGCCCA